rnacentral:rRNA from 1 species
GACGAACGCUGGCGGCGUGCCUAAUACAUGCAAGUCGAGCGGACAGAAGGGAGCUUGCUCCCGGAAGUUAGCGGCGGGCGGGUGAGUAACACGUGGGCAACCUACCCUGUAGAUCGGGAUAACAUCGAGAAAUCGGUGCUAAUACCGGAUAAUCAUUUGUAGUGCAUGCUUCGAAUGUAAAAGAUGGCUCCGGCUAUCACUACGGGAUGGGCCCGCGGCGCAUUAGCUGGUUGGUAAGGUAAUGGCUUACCAAGGCAACGAUGCGUAGCCGACCUGAGAGGGUGAUCGGCCACACUGGGACUGAGACACGGCCCAGACUCCUACGGGAGGCAGCAGUAGGGAAUCUUCCGCAAUGGACGAAAGUCUGACGGAGCAACGCCGCGUGAGUGAUGAAGGUUUUCGGAUCGUAAAGCUCUGUUGUUAGGGAAGAACAAGUGCCGUUUGAAUAAGGCGGCACCUUGACGGUACCUAACCAGAAAGCCACGGCUAACUACGUGCCAGCCGCCGCAGUAAGAC